ensembl:miRNA Mir106a microRNA 106a
UGUAAAAGUGCUUACAGUGCAGGUAGCUUUUUGAGAUCUACUGCAAUGCAAGCACUUCUUACAU